AAAAAAUUAGGAAUAGAUGAUACUAUUAAUCAAUAAAUAUCUAUACCUACUAAUAAAGCACAACUAUUCUCUUUGUCUCCCAAAGUUGUGCCAACUAUUUUGGUUACCUCCCAAAAUUUGAAGUUUGUGCCAACGUCUAUACAUUUAAUCUAUUGUAUGUCCGUAUCUAAAGAGCAGAUGGCAAAAUAAUUUAUUUCAUGGAAACUAACUGCAUUGUAGUCUCAGGGCCGGCCCUGUGUUUCGGGGGGCCCUAGGCGAACUCGGUAACAUGGGCCCCUAUGUCCUAAGGCAAUAUACAUGUAUGUGUGUGCUUGAUACAUAAGCAAUAUAUAUAUACAACUUAUUAAGAGUAUGCCUGGCCAUACCUCGGGCCGGGCCUAGCCAAGCCCGACGAAAAAAACCCAGGCCCAAGCCCGGCCCGGCCCGGCCAUCGGGCCUGUUUCCUGGGCCCGAGCCCGGCCCGAACACGUAAAAGCCCGUCGGGCUCCGGGCCGGCCCGGCCCGACCUUCAGAGAAAUGCAAAAAUGACGGCCCAGGCCCGGCCCGGCCUUCGGGCUCAAGAUCUAGGCCCGAGCCCGGCCCGGGGGUAGCGUCGGGCCAGGCCGGGUCGGGCUUUUUCGGGCCGGGUCGGGCUUCCCAUGGCCAGGUAUAAUUAAGAGUGACUUUCAACCACAUAUCUUUAGUUUAAAAUUUGACUAUAAUAAUUCGACUGACUCCAUCGACAACAAUAAUAACCAAAUUCUACCUGAUUCCAUCGAUAACAAUAAUACUAAAAAGAUAGCAAAAUGAAACUAACAUGACAUGAUUACCUCAAAUAAGAACCAAAUUCGAUUGAAUCCAUCGACAACAAUAAUACUUUAGUGCUUCAGAAAAAAUUUCUUUGGACGUUUCUUGAUGCAAAGUCAUUAAGGGCACAAUCAAGAUCAACAUUGUCCAAGAUAUCCUUCUCAAUGCAACACAUAACCACUUUCUGUCAACAAACUCACCAUUACUUAACUUUCUGGAGUUAAAAGCAUAUGAAAAGUGUCUACCAAUGGUGUCCUUCUCGAACUCCUGAUCUGGUUGUCUAAUAGGUUCCUUCUCAAUUAAAAUACCCUUUUGCUAUUGUCAUGAAUUUCCCAUGUUCUUGGAUCAAAAAUAGAUGAAAGGUAAUCUUCCUGUUCAUCAUAAAAAAUAGAUUAGGAAUUUAUACAUAGGAUGAUUGGAACCCUAGACGUACAUGGAUGAAUAGUUGAAUAAUACUUGAAUACGUACAUAUUAAAUAAAGAAAAAAAUAUACUAAUGAAAUUGUCAAAUUGGGGUUGGGGGCAUGGAUGAGGUCAUCAGGAACAUGGAUGGAUCAUGGAUACAUACUGAUUCUAUGGUGUGUUCACGGCGUUGCAGACUUGCAGUCGACCAACUUGACGCCUUCCCGGAUGCCGGAUGGCCGUGUGGCCGCGGCACGCGCAGCGGCGGCAGAUGAGAGGAGGAAGACGAUUAGACAGAUGAACCGACGAGAGGAACUGACGAAGGAAAACGAGCAGGCAGCCGUGCCUCGCAUCUGGCACCGAUCGCGCGCGUGACGCUUGGCUAAUCGAUCGCUAGUUAUCCCAUCUGGCCAUGUCGUUUGGUUUCUUCUGUAAAAAAAAUUUACCUAUUUUUGCUGGCCUAUAGUAUACAUACACACUACAUCAUGGCCCCCCCUUCGCCUGGGCCCUGGGCCGUCGCCCCAUCGGCCAUACCCCAAGGCGGGCCCUGUGUAGUCUAAGUCAAGAAAAC
rnacentral:lncRNA from 1 species